ACUUGCACUGUGAGGGAGCUGCAAUUGUGGUACCAUCAGAAGACACCUGUUGAAUGUGUUUUAUGUCUUCUGCAGGCACGUUUGCACUGUGCAGAAUAAACCGUGAACAGCCAA